rnacentral:rRNA from 1 species
CCUACGGGAGGCAGCAGUGGGGAAUUUUGGACAAUGGGCGAAAGCCUGAUCCAGCAAUGCCGCGUGAGUGAAGAAGGCCUUCGGGUUGUAAAGCUCUUUUGUCAGGGAAGAAACGGUGAGGGCUAAUAUCCUUUGCUAAUGACGGUACCUGAAGAAUAAGCACCGGCUAACUACGUGCCAGCAGCCGCGGUAAUACGUAGGGUGCAAGCGUUAAUCGGAAUUACUGGGCGUAAAGCGUGCGCAGGCGGUUUUGUAAGUCUGAUGUGAAAUCCCCGGGCUCAACCUGGGAAUUGCAUUGGAGACUGCAAGGCUAGAAUCUGGCAGAGGGGGGUAGAAUUCCACGUGUAGCAGUGAAAUGCGUAGAUAUGUGGAGGAACACCGAUGGCGAAGGCAGCCCCCUGGGUCAAGAUUGACGCUCAUGCACGAAAGCGUGGGGAGCAAACAGGAUUAGAUACCCUGGUAGUCCACGCCCUAAACGAUGUCUACUAGUUGUCGGGUCUUAAUUGACUUGGUAACGCAGCUAACGCGUGAAGUAGACCGCCUGGGGAGUACGGUCGCAAGAUUAAAACUCAAAUGAAAUUGACGG